rnacentral:rRNA from 1 species
CCUACGGGAGGCUGCAGUGAGGAAUAUUGGUCAAUGGACGAGAGUCUGAACCAGCCAAGUAGCGUGAAGGAUGACUGCCCUAUGGGUUGUAAACUUCUUUUAUAUGGGAAUAAAACGUUCCACGUGUGGGAUUUUGUCUGUACCAUAUGAAUAAGGAUCGGCUAACUCCGGUCCAGCAGCCGCGGUAAUACGGAGGAUCCGAGCGUUAUCCGGAUUUAUUGGGUUUAAAGGGAGCGUAGGUGGAUUGUUAAGUCAGUUGUGAAAGUUUGCGGCUCAACCGUAAAAUUGCAGUUGAAACUGGCAGUCUUGAGUACAGUAGAGGUGGGCGGAAUUCGUGGUGUAGCGGUGAAAUGCUUAGAUAUCACGAAGAACUCCGAUUGCGAAGGCAGUUCACUGGACUGCAACUGACACUGAGGCUCGAAAGUGUGGGUAUCAAACAGGAUUAGAUACCCGGGUAGUC